rnacentral:other from 1 species
CACCCCCUGCGGUAUUGGUCAAGACCCUAUAUUCCUUGAACCAAUGUUUGCUUGGCAUCCGCUGGAAAACCGGGACGAUGUUGUGAGCGGCUCUCGUAGCCGAACCUGAUUCGACCGGCCAUUCCGCGACACUGAACCUACGGUUCAGGAUGCUGGUCUUGACGGUAUGCGCGGGGGGCUU